rnacentral:lncRNA from 1 species
UCAGGACCUGAGGGUUAGAGCUUGACUGAUUCUUGUAUUUCUUCUUUCCUUCAGAAUUACUUUGACGAGUGAAAUGGACAUCUUUGAAUGAUCCAGGAGCCCAGUUCAUUGAAGUUCCCUUAACCCUAGCUCCCCCUGGCCCCGAGAAUGAACCCUCUGGGGAGACUCCAGGAAGACAGCCUGAUGGGAGGCACAUUCAGUGACCCCCGACAGAAGCCAGUAAAACCGGUUUUCCAGGCCAUCUUCUGACUGGCGAUGCAUUAACCAUAGCAGGAGCAGAAGUCUCAUUCUGAUGAGUGUUCAGAAGUUCAUGGGUAUGACCUUGGUUGGCCUCAUUACAUGGAGAAAGGCAGUUAGAACAUUCCACAAUCAAGCUUGUCAGAAACCCUGCUUAAUCCUAAACAUUUCUAACAUAUAGAAGGUAAGAAUUCUCUAAUUACUUUGUACUCUUUUGUACCUUAUUUUCAUCUAAGAAAAUCA